rnacentral:rRNA from 1 species
UUUCCUACGGGUGGCUGCAGUGAGGAAUAUUGGUCAAUGGGCGGAAGCCUGAACCAGCCAUGCCGCGUGCGGGACGAAGGCGCUACGCGUCGUAAACCGCUUUUGUCCGGGGGUAACCGUGGGGACGCGUCCCCACCUGCAAGUACCGGACGAAUAAGGGUCGGCUAACUCCGUGCCAGCAGCCGCGGUAAUACGGAGGACCCGAGCGUUAUCCGGAUUCAUUGGGUUUAAAGGGUGCGCAGGCGGCCCGGUAAGUCAGCGGUGAAAGGCCCACGCUCCACGUGGGAGCUGCCGUUGAUACUGCCGGGCUGGAAUGUCAGCGAGGCGGGCGGAAUGCGCGGUGUAGCGGUGAAAUGCUUAGAUAUCGCGCAGAACGCCGAUUGGGGAGCCAGCUCGCCAGCUGACCAUUGACGCUGAGGCACGAAAGCGUGGGGAUCGAACAGGAUUAGAUACCCCUGUAGUCGC